GCACACAGCUCAGUUGGCAGAGCAUGAGACUUAAUUUCAGGGUUGUGGGUUUGAGCCCCACGUGGGGCA
rnacentral:tRNA from 1 species